rnacentral:rRNA from 1 species
UACAGAGGUCUCAAGCGUUGUUCGGAUUCAUUGGGCGUAAAGGGUGCGUAGGUGGCGCGCUAAGUCAGGUGUGAAAUUUCGGAGCUUAACUCCGAAACUGCAUUUGAUACUGGCGUGCUUGAGGACUGGAGAGGAGACUGGAAUUCAUGGUGUAGCAGUGAAAUGCGUAGAGAUCAUGAGGAAGACCAGUGGCGAAGGCGGGUCUCUGGACAGUUCCUGACACUGAGGCACGAAGGCCAGGGGAGCAAAACGGGG